rnacentral:rRNA from 1 species
GACGAAUGCUGGCUGCGUGCUUAACACAUGCAAGUCGAACGGUGAAAGGGAGCCUGCUCCCUGGAUCAGUGGCGAACGGGUGAGUAACACGUGGGCAACCUACCCCUCACUCUGGGAUAACUCCGGGAAACCGGGGCUAAUACCGGAUACGACCUGGUGCGACAUCGCACCGGGUGGAAAGAACUUCGGUGAGGGAUGGGCCCGCGGCCUAUCAGCUUGUUGGUGGGGUAACGGCCCACCAAGGCGACGACGGGUAGCCGGCCGGAGAGGGCGACCGGCCACACUGGGACUGAGACACGGCCCAGACUCCUACGGGGGGCAGCAGUGGGGAAUAUUGCGCAAUGGGCGAAAGCCUGACGCAGCGACGCAGCGUGAGGGACGAAGGCCUUCGGGUUGUAAACCUCUUUCAGCGGGGACGAAGCGAAAGUGACGGUACCCGCAGAAGAAGCACCGGCUAACUACGUGCCAGCAGCCGCCGUAAAAC